rnacentral:rRNA from 1 species
UACAGGCUUAACACAUGCAAGUCGAGGGGCAGCAUGGUCUUAGCUUGCUAAGGCCGAUGGCGACCGGCGCACGGGUGAGUAACACGUAUCCAACCUGCCGUCUACUCUUGGACAGCCUUCUGAAAGGAAGAUUAAUACAAGAUGGCAUCAUGAGUCCGCAUGUUCACAUGAUUAAAGGUAUUCCGGUAGACGAUGGGGAUGCGUUCCAUUAGAUAGUAGGCGGGGUAACGGCCCACCUAGUCUUCGAUGGAUAGGGGUUCUGAGAGGAAGGUCCCCCACAUUGGAACUGAGACACGGUCCAAACUCCUACGGGAGGCAGCAGUGAGGAAUAUUGGUCAAUGGGCGAGAGCCUGAACCAGCCAAGUAGCGUGAAGGAUGACUGCCCUAUGGGUUGUAAACUUCUUUUAUAAAGGAAUAAAGUCGGGUAUGGAUACCCGUUUGCAUGUACUUUAUGAAUAAGGAUCGGCUAACUCCGUGCCAGCAGCCGCGGUAAUACGGAGGAUCCGAGCGUUAUCCGGAUUUAUUGGGUUUAAAGGGAGCGUAGAUGGAUGUUUAAGUCAGUUGUGAAAGUUUGCGGCCCAACCGUAAAAUUGCAGUUGAUACUGGAUAUCUUGAGUGCAGUUGAGGCAGGCGGAAUUCGUGGUGUAGCGGUGAAAUGCUUAGAUAUCACGAAGAACUCCGAUUGCGAAGGCAGCCUGCUAAGCUGCAACUGACAUUGAGGCUCGAAAGUGUGGGUAUCAAACAGGAUUAGAUACCCUGGUAGUCCACACGGUAAACGAUGAAUACUCGCUGUUUGCGAUAUACUGCAAGCGACCAAGCGAAAGCGUUAAGUAUUCCACCUGGGGAGUACGCCGGCAACGGUGAAACUCAAAGGAAUUGACGGGGGCCCGCACAAGCGGAGGAACAUGUGGUUUAAUUCGAUGAUACGCGAGGAACCUUACCCGGGCUUAAAUUGCAGAUGAAUUACGGUGAAAGCCGUAAGCCGCAAGGCAUCUGUGAAGGUGCUGCAUGGUUGUCGUCAGCUCGUGCCGUGAGGUGUCGGCUUAAGUGCCAUAACGAGCGCAACCCUUGUUGUCAGUUACUAACAGGUUCCGCUGAGGACUCUGACAAGACUGCCAUCGUAAGAUGUGAGGAAGGUGGGGAUGACGUCAAAUCAGCACGGCCCUUACGUCCGGGGCUACACACGUGUUACAAUGGGGGGUACAGAGGGCCGCUACCACGCGAGUGGAUGCCAAUCCCCAAAACCUCUCUCAGUUCGGACUGGAGUCUGCAACCCGACUCCACGAAGCUGGAUUCGCUAGUAAUCGCGCAUCAGCCACGGCGCGGUGAAUACGUUCCCGGGCCUUGUACACACCGCCCGUCAAGCCAUGGGAGCCGGGGGUACCUGAAGUGCGUAACCGCGAGGAGCGCCCUAGGGUAAAACUGGUGACUGG